GCCAACGGGCUCGUGAGAAGUUUGACAUACAAACAGGUAAGAGCGGAACCUUGUGACCCGCCUUCGCUGAGGCUUCGGCGAGGCAAGGAAUUCAAGGGCUGUGCCGCAACUGUGAUUUGGUAACCAACGAUUUGUGAAUGAUCACGAGUAUUGGUUGCUGAUGAGCCAGGAACGCUACUUACCAUACUUUCCCGCU
rnacentral:ncRNA from 1 species